AGAGUUUGAUCAUGGCUCAGAUUGAACGCUGGCGGUAGGCUUAACACAUGCAAGUCGUGCGAGAAAGUAUCUUCGGAUAUGAGUAGAGCGGCGGACGGGUGAGUAACGCGUAGGAAUCUACCUAGUAGAAGGGGAUAGCCCGGGGAAACUCGGAUUAAUACCGUAUACCUCCUUUGGGAGAAAGAAGGCCUCUCUUUGAAGCUUUCGCUAUUAGAUGAGCCUGCGUAAGAUUAGCUUGUUGGUGAGGUAAAGGCUCACCAAGGCGACGAUCUUUAGCGGGUCUGAGAGGACGAUCCGCCACAUUGGGACUGAGACACGGCCCAGACUCCUACGGGAGGCAGCAGUGGGGAAUAUUGGACAAUGGGCGCAAGCCUGAUCCAGCCAUACCGCGUGUGUGAAGAAGGCCCUAGGGUUGUAAAGCACUUUAAGUUGGGAAGAAAAGUUAUUGGUUAAUACCCAAUAACCGUGACAUUACCUUCAGAAUAAGGACCGGCUAAUUCCGUGCCAGCAGCCGCGGUAAUACGGAAGGUCCAAGCGUUAAUCGGAAUUACUGGGCGUAAAGCGCGCGUAGGUGGUUUAUUAAGUUGGAUGUGAAAUCCCCGGGCUCAACCUGGGAACUGCAUCCAAAACUGAUUCACUAGAGUACGAUAGAGGGAGGUAGAAUUCACAGUGUAGCGGUGGAAUGCGUAGAUAUUGUGAAGAAUACCAAUGGCGAAGGCAGCCUCCUGGAUCUGUACUGACACUAAGGUGCGAAAGCGUGGGUAGCGAACAGGAUUAGAUACCCUGGUAGUCCACGCCGUAAACGAUGUCAACUAGCUGUUGGGAAACAAUGUUUC
rnacentral:rRNA from 1 species